GUGCUCGCUUUGGCAGCACAUAUACUAAAAUUGGAACGAUAUAGAGAAGAUUAGCAUGGACCCUGCGCAAGGAUGACACGCAAAUUCGUGAAGUGUUCCAUAUUUAA
rnacentral:snRNA from 1 species